rnacentral:rRNA from 1 species
GACGAACGCUGGCGGCGUGCUUAACACAUGCAAGUCGAACGAAGAGCGAUGGAAGCUUGCUUCUAUCACUCUUAGUGGCGCACGGGUGAGUAACGCGUAAUCAACCUGCCCUUCAGAGGGGGACAACAGUUGGAAACGACUGCUAAUACCGCAUACGAUCUAAUCUCGGCAUCGAGGAUAGAUGAAAGGUGGCCUCUACAUGUAAGCUAUCACUGAAGGAGGGGAUUGCGUCUGAUUAGCUAGUUGGAGGGGUAACGGCCCACCAAGGCGAUGCUCAGUAGCCGGUCUGAGAGGAUGAACGGCCACAUUGGGACUGGGACACGGCCCAGACUCCUACGGGAGGCAGCAGUGGGGAAUCUUCCGCAAGGGACGAAAGACUGACGGAGCAACGCCGCGUGAGUGAUGACGGCCUUCGGGUUGUAAAGCUCUGUUAAUCGGGACGAAAGGCCUUCUUGCGAAUAGUGAGAAGGAUUGACGGUACCGGAAUAGAAAGCCACGGCUAACUACGUG